CUUCACACUCAUUUCAAGUAAUUGAGUCACUGGUUUGAGCCCAAACCUCUGCCUGUUUCCUAGUUCUGAUCCAUAUGAGAGCAUGCUCUGUCCACCUGCAUGGCCCUGUCAGCUCCUGGUUGCUAGCAGUGCUUGAAAGAGCCCUGCAGGGUGGGAAGGCCAGGACCUACUUCCUAGAAUACCAUCAUCACAGCCCUGCCCAGAACCAAGAAGUAUGUCAAGGUCAUUCUUGAUGUGGUUUAACACAGGUAAGCAACGCUUGUGUCCAACGUAAAAGAAGCACUUUUCUUUCCAGAGGCAACUUGACAAGGUUAGGUAGAAGAGAUAAAGGAGGAAGGAGAUGAGUUAGUCUUGGGCAAGCAUAAUUCACAAUAGAUGUCAGCACCCCCUUUUCAUCUGAAAUGAAUUAUUCACUCCUUCCACUGUAUUGUCUCACUUCCCCUCUGAAGACUGAAACACAGAGGGCAACUUUCACUUCCCACA